rnacentral:rRNA from 1 species
CCUACGGGUGGCAGCAGUGGGGAAUAUUGCGCAAUGGGCGCAAGCCUGACGCAGCGACGCCGCGUGAGGGAUGAAGGUCUUCGGAUCGUAAACCUCUGUCAGCCGGGAAGAACGGUCACUGUGCUCAUCCGCAGUGACUUGACGUUACCUGCAACGGAAGCACCGGCUAACUCCGUGCCAGCAGCCGCGGUAAUACGGAGGGUGCGAGCGUUUAUCGGAAUUACUGGGCGUAAAGCGCUCGUAGGCGGUAUGUCAAGUCAAGGGUGAAAGCCCCGGGCUCAACGUGGGAAGUGCCUUUGAAACUGGCAAACUGGAGUAUUGGAGAGGAUAGUGGAAUUCCAGGUGUAGGGGUGAAAUGCGUAGAUAUCUGGAGGAACAUCAGUGGCGAAGGCGACCAACUGGAACAUAACUGACGCUGAGGCGCGAAAGCGUGGGGAGUAAACAGGAUUAGAUACCCGAGUAGUC